GAGGAAAAGUUGAUGUAGAUAACCUAAAAGCAUUUCUGGAAAAUAUUGGGGUUGAGCUGUCACAUAAAGAAUUUGAAGAUUUUUCAAAAAACCUACCAGUUGAUGUUGAUGGAAAGAUUGAUCUGAAACAUGCGAUGACCAGAAUAAGUGACUUUACAGGAGAAAAGAUUAAUGCCAGUGAUAUGAAAAAUGUUCUUAGAGACAUGGGGAUAAAAGUCAAUGAUAAGGAAUGUGUGGAACUGCUAGAAACACUACCAACUGAUGCUGAUGGAAGUGUUCCUUUUAAAAAGGUGAUGGAUGAUGUGAAUGCAGAUAUAGGCAAGUUAAAAAUCCUAAUUCUUUAAUAAUAAUUUCCUGUAUUGUCUUUCUAGUUAAUCCAUAAAUUCAUUACCAUAGCACUCAUGAACAAUAAAA